rnacentral:rRNA from 1 species
GACGAACGCUGGCGGCGUGCUUAACACAUGCAAGUCGAACGGAAAGGCCCUGCUUUUGUGGGGUGCUCGAGUGGCGAACGGGUGAGUAACACGUGAGUAACCUGCCCUUGACUUUGGGAUAACUUCAGGAAACUGGGGCUAAUACCGGAUAGGAGCUCCUGCUGCAUGGUGGGGGUUGGAAAGUUUCGGCGGUUGGGUAUGGACUCGCGGCUUAUCAACUUGUUGGUGGGGUAGUGGCUUACCAAGGCUUUGACGGGUAGCCGGCCUGAGAGGGCGACCGGCCACAUUGGGACUGAGAUACGGCCCAGACUCCUACGGGAGGCAGCAGUGGGGAAUAUUGCACAAUGGGCGGAAGCCUGAUGCAGCAACGCCGCGUGCGGGAUGACGGCCUUCGGGUUGUAAACCGCUUUCGCCUGUGACGAAGCGUGAGUGACGGUAAUGGGUAAAGAAGCACCGGCUAACUACGUG